UCCCCGAGCCCACUCGCGACGGAAACACGCUCCCAGAAAAUACUAGCGACCAAACCGGGGGGCGUGGCGUGCGGUUUAGGGCGGCACGCGGACGCGCGAGGAGCGGCAGACGGACCGCAGGUCGAUCAGACAUGAAAGACAGAAGAGUGGGAUUUGUUAAUAUCAUAAGGAGCGGCGCGGCAAACGGAGGGGGAGAACAACGGCACAAACGAGCGUUCCUUACGACUUAAAAGGAGUGAGAGCCCCCCCGCGCAGCUCGGAGUCCCCGGCUCGCCUUCACCUGAAGCGAGGACUAUAUUCAGAGAUGGAUGGAGUCUGCUGGAGCAUCCAGCUCCCUCGGCGGAGAGGAGCCGUUAAUUUGCGGGGCCUGAUCCGUCUGCGAGCUAGAGGAACGCCAGUGCUAUCAUUAUCAGCCAAAUCAACCAGGCGUUAAAUGGAGAGAUCAGGAGACAUUUGCUCUCCCCGCCAUCUCGGUGACAUCAUUACCGAGAGAAUCAACAGCAGGAGCUGCCAGUCCGCGGGGGGCAGGAAAACAAUGCCGGCGUUAAGGGGCCGGGCAUCUCAUCACAGCGUUAAGCCGAAGGGGGCGCCAGGACGCCACGUGCCAGCCACCUCAGAAGAGAGGGUCAUCAUGUCCAGACCUUAAAGAAACGCCGUUUGGGAAGCUGAGAUCGCACA